UUGGCCCUGAAUCAGGGCUAACAGUUUGCCGAAGCUGUUGGCUUCAAGCAGGAACCUGAAGAAAUGUCUGCCUAUGGUCUGCUGGCCAUUUCAGAACUGGGAAAUGUCAUGGUCAACUCAUCAGAAAGAAACAUCU
ensembl:snoRNA